AAAAUAAAACCUUUCCUUUGGGUCUCUAAGCAUUUUAGGUGAUGUAAAUCAUGUUCAAGCCGUGUGAAUUUCAAAAACAUGGAUCUUUCAGCAGUGUGAAUUUUAAAAUUAAGAUCUCUCAUCAAUGAUUUUUCAUUGAUAGGGGAUUAAGGCUUCGAUCCUAUUGGUAACAACCUCCAACCCCCGCCCCCCGCCGCAAACAAAAAAAAAGUACAUGGAUACAUAUGCUACACACAUAAUAUAGAUACAAUAUACAUGUAUGUGUAUACAUAAUUGCAACAUGGAAAAUAACUCACUGCGUGGUAAAAUUGAGAAGACAUUAGAAUAAAUAUUACCAGAUCCAAACAUUACAUAAAAUCCCCCUGAGACAUCUAUCUCUGAGCGCUCCUCCCUGUCAUCAAAUGUGUAGCUUGAUAUUAAUCAACAUUGAGAUAAAAUCUAUGUGGAUACAUUUUCCAAAAUUGCAUGCACACCAUACUUUGAACAUAACCUAAUGGAUUUCACAUAUGCAUGAUGGACACAGUUCAGAGCACUUUAUUCCAUGGUGGAUUAGACCGGUUUCCAGAUAGAUCACUCAAGCAAUUAUAUAUCAAAUCAGCCAGUCCAGUGGUUUGUUUAAAACAAGGCCAGUCUCCCAC
rnacentral:lncRNA from 1 species